GCACAAGCGGUGGAUGAUGUGGUUUAAUUCGAUGCAACGCGAAAACCUUACCCACCUUUGACAUGUACGGAAUCCUUUAGAGAUAGAGGAGUGCUCGAAAGAGAGCCGUAACACAGGUGCUGCAUGGCUGUCGUCAGCUCGUGUCGUGAGAUGUUGGGUUAAGUCCCGCAACGAGCGCAACCCUUGUCAUUAGUUGCUACGAAAGGGCACUCUAAUGAGACUGCCGGUGACAAACCGGAGGAAGUGGGAUGACGUCAAAUCAUCAUGCCCCUUAUGUUCUGGGCUACACACGUGCUACAAUGGCCGGUACAGACGGACGCAAAGCCGCGAGGUGGAGCAAAUCCUAAAAAGCCGGUCUCAGUUCGGAUUGCAGGCUGCAAUUCGCCUGCAUGAAGUCGGAAUCGCUAGUAAUCGCAGGUCAGCAUACUGCGGUGAAUACGUUCCCGGGCCUU
rnacentral:rRNA from 1 species